UUCCUGCUUUCUGCUGCUACUAAAUGCUCAGCCAGUGCAUCACUCAUGGCUGAACUACAACUGGUGUUAUUGCCCUUUAGCAAACCCAUGGCACCUGGGAGAAACCUUAUAGCUAAAGCAGUGAACAGCUGGGAUUGGUCUACAGUUCCAGUGGCUAUCAGCAGAGCCCACCAGCUCUGCAAAGGUUCCUGAAAUGCACCUGAGGAGCCAGGGUCAGCCCUCCACUAAAGGGGUUACACAUCAGAUGACCUCUCCUGGCUUUUUGCAUCUUGAUUUUGGACUUGCAGGAGUGGAAGUGCCAUUACUUCCUGUUAAGUGAAAGAAUAAAGAAGAGGUUGCCUGGUGCCAUUCAGGCCUUUUUGUGUUCAGAGUGAAAAAAUAAAACCCUGAUAUAUCAGAAUCUCAUUCAUCACCAGGAUCUGAAGUACUCGAAGACAAUAUUA